GUGGGAAAAUAUAUUCCCUAUCUCCAAUUCUAAAGAAAUAUAAGGAUUAAACGUCUUUUGAAAGUAAUGCAUUGGUGUAUAUACUGGAACAAGUCACUCACAAACAUCGGACUUGUAUUUGUUUGUGAGUGAAUUGGUCGAGUUUAUACACCAAUCAAUUCCUUUUAAAAAGGCGUUUAAUCCUAUAAUAACCGCUUGAAAAAAAGUGAUUCAACCCGAACAUUUGCCAUUUUUAAUUACAUUUUUUUUCUCGUAAGCUACCGUCAUAUUCACUGUUAGCAUUUUGUAACGAAAGAGUCGCCAUAUUGACUUUCUGAAAUCAGUAAAUAUGUGAAUAACGCAACAGAAUAGAAAAAAAGUAACACAUACCUCAUAAUUUAAUUUUGAUGCAAUAUACUCCGAGUUCACGCA
rnacentral:lncRNA from 1 species